GGAAGCGAACGGGGCCCGGUGGCCCUCCCGGUCUUCAAAAUCGGUUGCUUCCCGCGUUGAGCGGGAGGGCUGGGUUCGACUCCCAGGCGCUUCCGCCA
rnacentral:tRNA from 1 species